GGCUCGUUGGUCUAGGGGUAUGAUUCUCGCUUACAGUUCGAGAGGUCCCGGGUUCAAAUCCAGGACAAGCCC
rnacentral:tRNA from 1 species